rnacentral:tRNA from 1 species
UCCCUCUUAGCUCAGUGGUAGAGCGCGUCACUAGUACGGAUACGUCAUGACGAGGUCAGUCGUUCAAGUCGGCUAGAGGGAA